CUGGGUAGCGCCCGGCUGGGCGCUCUACCCUGUGCGAAGAACUCCACGCAGUCUCCCAUAGAAGCUUCUCAGCAGCCUCGCAAAGGGGGAAUUCUGCUAACUGCGUGGGGGAAAGGACUGUGAGGAAACUCCCCCGGACCAUCACGUACUUUGAAUGCUGGUUUGUGCAGUGCUUUCCCCCGCAGAGGUGGGAAGGCCUCAGAGACCUUGAAACAGGCGGGCAACAGGAGAGGGAAGACAUCAUCUCUGCAGUUCAGGAAGCCCAUGGUGUAGCUGUUUGGACGGUGGACUGGAGAAGCCAAGAGGGUCGGAGGAAGAAGAGAUGCUCCGGAAAAGGUCUUGAGAAAGAUCCAAGAGGUUGAAACCCAGGACGAGCCAGCUCCAAGAAGCCCAGGGAGGAGAGUGCACAAGGGAACGUGAGCCAGGGUACGACGAGAGUGCCCGCUUCUGCGUGGGGCCUCAACGGAGUCUCUGCCUGCGCCCAGCGAGAGGAUCCCCCGGGCCCUCCCUGGGCUUCCUGCCUCCUCGCUGGGGGCUCUGGGUAUUCUGUGGUCACCCCAGGGCCUUCCCUCCCCCACCUGAGGGCCAUCAUCGCUCUGCCUGCCCUCCAGCGUAUUUGGAGCUUCAGAUGCGAGAUGGGAGACAGUGCUCUAUAAACUGACCAAUGCAUGACCUCUGAUUCAUUCUAAGUCUCAGGCUCUUCCACGGCUAGCUGGCUGUGUUUUCUCUUGUCUUUGGUGGCUGCUUGGCUCACCUUUUUCUGCUCCAAUGAUGUCUGUUCUGACUUGUUCCGUGGCCCGCUGUUAUUCAGUGGCUGGCCCGUCCCGGGGUUUGCCGUUCAGCCCUGAUUUUUGGAGGGUGACUCUGCCCUGGGGCCUGCUCCUCUCCUCACUCCCUCUCAUCUUCAAGGUCUUCCUUCUUCUCUACCAUCUUUUCCCCCAAGAGACCCAAGUUUCGACCAUAAUCUCAAAGACGAACGAAAAUUCCUCUUCUCCCUACUCUUCCUCCAGCAACCUCUCCAUUUGCAUUCCUUCCUAACCAAGUCUCUCCAGUAAUUAUCUACGUUUCUUCAUCUCCCCUCUGCCCUCUUUUUUUUUUUUUUAAUCAUCUCUCUCUCUCUCUCUCUGUUUUCCCUGUUUGUCUCUUAAUUCUUUGCAGUCAGGCUUCUGCUCCCACUUGUCCACUGAAACUUUUCGUAAUGAUCACUGUAGUGGGUUAAAUGCUGACUCCCGUAGGAUAUGUCCAAAUCCUAACCCCCGGAACCCAUGAAGGUGAACUUAUUUGGAAAAGGGGUCUUUGCAGAUGUAAUUAAGUGAAAGAUCUCAAGAUGAGAUUAGCCUGGAUUUAGGGGGGUGGCAGGUAAGUUUACAAGAGCAAGUCAGGGAGAUCUGGGACUGACGCACGGGGAGGAUGGCUACGUGACACAGAGGCAGAGGUCAUCGUUACACAGCCACAGCCAAGAAACACCAAGGAUCACCAGCAUCCACUGGAGGCAAGGAGAGAGGCAUGAAUCAAGUCUCCCUCCGAGGCUCAGAAGGGUCCCUGCCGAUAUCUUCAUUUCAGACUUCUGGGCCUCCGGAACUAUGAGGCCACACGUUUCUGUGGAUUUGAGCCACCCAGUUUGCCGUGGUUUGUUAUGGUUGUCCAAGAAAGUAAUUCAGUAAUAAUACUAGCGGCCGACAUUUAUGGAGUGUCUACCCUGUGCCUGGCCUGGUUCUGAAUGCCUUACAUGCGUUAUUUCAUUGAAUUCCCACCAACCCGAUAAAGUGGGCAUACGGUAAUAAAAACAAUGUCAACAAAAGCAGUAAGGGAGAGUUUGCCGUGUCUUUGGCAUUUAAAAAUUGAACGUCUAUCUGAGCGGUGUGUUUUAUUUUUCUCUUUUAGAGAUGAGGAACCCGCAGACCCAAAACUUAUGUAACUGCCCAAAGUUACACAACGCAUAGGUAGUGAUGCCAGGAUUUCAACCCCGGUACCUCCUUGGGUGCCCGUAACCACUUUGCACUUCUUCUCAGGCUCCUGGCAAAGAGGGAGCCCAGGAGGCUGAUGGGCGGAUUGACCCAGGGCUGGAUUUUGUACAGUUGCAGGGCUGGAAGGGGCCAAGGGGCUGGAGACCUCUGCGAAACCGUGUACAACACACUGGAAGUGUCCCACGGGGGGACGAAGAAGCUGGAACAUUUGUGUCCUCCAAUCCUGUUGCCACGGGAAGCCCUUGGGCAGGGACCAGCCGCUCUUUGUCGCCAGGCCACAGAGAGUUAAAUACCAACGUUCUGCGCAAGCAUUUAGAAAGAUUUUGCAGCAAUUUGACAUAGAUAGAGACAGCCAGCGAGAGAGAGAACACAAGCAGGGGGAGUGGGAGAGG